GAAUUUUAUGUUUUUUGUCAAUAAUUCUGGUGUUGAUUGCAGCUGACAUUCAGUCAUAAUGUUUAUACAACCGUGAUCUUCAGGAUCAUGACAGUGCCCUUAUUAAAUUGUUCUGCAACAAAAUUGCUGUCCUCAAAGUCGUUGUUUACUAGCACAUUCUCAUUUGUGCUCAUUCUCCUUGGACUGGUGGGUGGGUGAAUUCACCUCACACACACACACACACACACACACACACACACUCUGGCUAUAAUCAUCCUGCCAUCCUCUGAACAUAUAAACCCACCCCAUCUUCAUGUCUACAAAUACACAAUGCUCACUGCAAACCUACAGAGGACAGCAUCACUGAGACCAAGAAGCAACCUUCCUGAGUUCCUGAAUAAGCUACUGAAAAGAUGUUGUCACACAAGUGUUUCCUGCCCAUCUUGGCUCUGUGCUUUUUAAUGGACGAGGUGUAUUCAUUCCUGCUACCAGACAGGCUACAGCUGACUAGAAGCAGCCACCGGUUGGGUCGGGAUCUGUCUUCUCACCUGUCAGAACUCUCGGAUCUGGUAGAACUCGUUCCUGAUAACGGCGGGGAAAUGA